GUCUGCAUGAAAUAAGUGUGCAGUCUGGCCUGCCCCCUGAAAAUUUUAAAGGGCCGCGGUAUCUGAACCGUGCUAAGGUAGCAUAAUCAAUAGUCUUUUAAUUGAGGUCUAGUAUGAAUGGUCGGACAGGAGGUAAGCUGUCUUGGGUGUAGUUAUUGAAUUUUACUUUUGAGUGAAAAGGCUCAAAUUGAGUAGUGGGACGAUAAGACCCUAUAAAGCUUUAUAUAUUAGCUUAGGUUUUUUGAAGUUAAGGUGUUCAGAUUCUAUAAGUUAAUGUGUUUCGUUGGGGCGACGGGAAUAUAAUUUUUAACUGUUUCUUUUAUAAAAAUAAAUGUUUUUAGACAAGUUGAUCCUUUGUAGAGAUUAUAAGAUUAAAGUUACUUUAGGGAUAACAGCGUGAUUUUUUCUGAGAGUUCAUAUCGACGAAAUUAGUUGCGACCUCGAUGUUGAAUUAAGGUGUUAUCAAGGUGUAGCAGUUUUGAUAGUGAGUUUGUUCAACUCUUAAAACCUUACAUGAUUUGAGUUCAGACCGGCGUG
rnacentral:rRNA from 1 species